CUGGGUUUGCGACCUCGAUGUUGGCUUAGGGAAAUCCAUAAUUAGGCGCAGCAGCCAUAAUAGGAUAGUCUGUUCGACUAUUAAUACCCUUCAUGAGCUGAGUUAAGACCGGCGCGAGCUAGGUUGGUUUCUAUCUUCUCAUAUUCAAACUAAAACCAUCGACUGUACGAAAGGACCUCGAAGAUCCCUCGUCUAAAGGGAAAUAAAUAAUCUUUAACCUUACCUAAAUA
rnacentral:rRNA from 1 species